CUCCCCAUCUCCCAAAGUUACGGGGACAAUUUGCCGAAUUCCUUAACCACAGUUCACCCGCAAGCCUUAGUAUACUCAACCCAACUACCAGCGUCGGUUUCGGGUACGGGCAACACCACCACUCGCUUAGAGGCUUUUCUCGACAGCACAGGAUCACCACCAUCACCACAAACGUGGCUACGCAUCACGCCUCACCCACAAUGUGCGGCGGAUUUACCAACCACACGGGCCACACGCUUACACCCCCACAACCAACCGGAGGCGUGGCUACCACACUGCGUCACCCCAUCACUUGGCUACCACGCAUCAGGCCCCACACCACACCCCGCAAAAACCAACAACCCCGAAAGGCUGUCGAUCCGGGAUGCGGCACAGUUAGUAUCAACGCGUCACCAUAAGAACGCGGCAGCACCGGUACGGGAAUAUCAACCCGUUUCCCAUCGACUACGCCCGACGGCCUCGCCUUAGGACCCGACUCACCCUGAGCAGACAAACUUCACCCAGGAACCCUUAGUCAUACGGCCACCAGGAUUCUCACCUGAUUCAUCGUUACUCAUGCCUGCAUUCUCACUCGCACGCACUCCACCACCCAUCACCAGGCAGCUUCACCACACGCACGACGCUCCCCUACCCACCAUGCACAAACCAUGGCGCCGCGGCUUCGGCGGUGUACUUAAGCCCCACUACAUUCUCGGCGCAGAACCACUCGACCAGUGAGCUAUUACG
rnacentral:rRNA from 1 species